GACGAACGCUGGCGGCGUGCUUAACACAUGCAAGUCGAACGGAAAGGCCCUGCUUUUGUGGGGUGCUCGAGUGGCGAACGGGUGAGUAACACGUGAGUAACCUGCCCUUGACUUUGGGAUAACUUCAGGAAACUGGGGCAAAUACCGGAUAGGAGCUCCUGCUGCAUGGUGGGGGUUGGAAAGUUUCGGCGGUUGGGGAUGGACUCGCGGCUUAUCAGCUUGUUGGUGGGGUAGUGGCUUACCAAGGCUUUGACGGGUAGCCGGCCUGAGAGGGUGACCGGCCACAUUGGGACUGAGAUACGGCCCAGACUCCUACGGGAGGCAGCAGUGGGGAAUAUUGCACAAUGGGCGGAAGCCUGAUGCAGCAACGCCGCGUGCGGGAUGACGGCCUUCGGGUUGUAAACCGCUUUCGCCUGUGACGAAGCGUGAGUGACGGUAAUGGGUAAAGAAGCACCGGCUAACUACGUG
rnacentral:rRNA from 1 species